rnacentral:tRNA from 1 species
GCCCCUAUAGCUCAAUGGAUAGAGUGUCGGCCUCCGAAGCCGCAGGUCGCAGUUCGAAUCUGCGUAGGGGCA